GGGCAGAGAGGGGGCUGCCCGGUCUCCGCUCCCGCGGACCACGGGCUAUGCAGGGCGCGGAAAGCCAGGGAGAAAAAACCCGGGUGCGGCGGGGACUCCCUCUUCGCCUUUGCGAGGGUGGGGAAGGAAGCGAAGAGCUUCCCCUCUGCUCUGAGUACUUGUCUAUCUACCCUUCAAACAAGUUCAGGAAAGCAUAUCUUAGCAGUGGGAAACAUACUCUUUGCUAAUGCUGCCAAAUCAACAUAUGUCUUCUGAAUACAAAUUACAGAUAUAAGCAAUUAACUAAUAUAUUAGUAAGACCGUGCCUCUGCCUUACAAGCAUCAUAACUGCCAUAUUCAGUUAUCCUUCCAUAUUAGAGACUUAAAUGCAAGCUAGAGUAUACAGAAAAUAAAUAGAAAAGAAUUCUACUCAUAUUUUUUCCUAAAAAUGAAGGUCAUCUAAAAAAGAGAAGGAAGACAAAAGAAGGAAAACCCAGGAAAAAAAAAAUAGGAUAAAUCAUGUAUAUAUAUGUAAACAACAAAAAAGAAAACCUCUUCAGCAUCUGUUAAUUUUUCUAAAAACGCUGCUGUUUUCUUAAGUGAACCUUAGUACAUACACACAGCCAACUGUUUUUAAAUGCUAUCUGCCAAAACAAUAACAGACUCAAUUACUGGAAAGCAAUAAUAGAAUGCAGAACAUACUAUGAAGCAAAUAUGGAAAGCUAUACAAAUAAAACCCAGGAAAGAUUACACUAUUAAAAGUAAACCAAAGCUA